GCAUCGCUCUAGCUCCACAUCCUGUUUACAGUGGCUAAAGCCAGAACCAGAACGAUCUGAGGAGUGAGCCCGUCUCAGAUAACGGCUCAUCUCCCCAUUAUGGCACAUCUCCAGGACCAGGAUCCUGAGUGAUGCUGAGUUUGCUCUGAGCAAGCAUCUUGGAGUUCAUCCAGUUCAUGGCCUCAUUCACACUCUUCUCCACUGUACUCAUCUCCUCAGGCAUUAGAUGCUGGUAUCGCUCGUCCUGAUGGUCAAAACACACACCACAUAACACCCCUUUUAUAUGCCUAUCUCUAUUUAAUAACAAUUAGAUUUGUUAAGGUAAUUGUAGAACAUUUUAAAUUGAAUUUUGAUAACAGAACAAUUUCUUUGAACAACAUUU